GGGGCGUGGCCCCGAAACAUUGCAUUUCGCAAUAAACACGCAAGGCAGCUUGCUUGCAUUGAUCCUGUGUGCCUUUGGAUUCUUUUUGCGAAGGCCCUGAAUGCAGGACAUGGUGCCAAGUGCAAAAAAGAACUACUGACUUCGGGUGCAUCCCCCUGGCCAAAGGUUUGCCGCCAAAGGCACAACUUUUUGCACUCCCAAAAUGAAUUGCACCUACCUUCUGUAAGCAUUGUGUACAGGGCUGCCUUUUUAUAUAAAUGCAUUGCAAAAUUUGUGGCACAGACUGCACAAACUAUUUCCCAGAGGCAGCUGCUGAAUGUGUUGCAUUUAGACAUGUGCGAGAGGCACAAUAUUGAAUUCUUUUACUGAAUGAAUCCUCUCUAGACACUUACUGCGUACUAACUAGCACACUACAAAUCAUAGAAUUAUACUGCUCUAUAUUGUCAUUUUUAUACUGCAUACUUGCUGUAUGGAGAGGGUUUUACACACACGUAAAAUUGGAAACCAUGUGGUUUAUUCUCAGCAAGGAAUCUGACAUUCAGUACAGAUCUCGGGAUCAAGAGAAAAUCUCUGUUUUCCUUUCCUUCCGCUGCGCAAACGGUUUGACUCUGCUGCAAUUUGCCUUUCCGAAGUGGUUUUUCAUUGCAGAUAACUUCACCGUCCUGAGUAAAUUAAUUGACCUGCUCAAAAGAAGUGGUAAUCUAUCAAAAGCUCCCUCGUUCUUUGAAAAGGCUUUAGGUAAUUCUUCCCAGACUACUCUGGAGCCUGGAUUCAAUUACUGCAAAGGGCUUUACUGCUGAAGGAUAAUGGUUCUGCCAUUCUGGUUGUAGCCCAGACCUUCAUGAUUCUGAGACAAACAUCCGAGCCAGGAACCAGAUGUCUAAGAUGGCCUGGUCCAUAGCCGACGCAGAAGACCUGGAAAAGAGCUGGCUGCUUCUUGCAGACAUUUACAUCAAGUCCGGGAAAUAUGAUAUCGCAACAGAGCUACUGAAGCGUUGCUUACUGUACAACAAGGUGGGGGGGGAAGGUAAAUACUGUAAUGAAGAGCCAAAUGUAUUGAAUGUAAUGUCACAUAAAGAUCUACUGGCUCGUCUAGUGUUCUCAUUUGUUAUUGCCCUUUUCUAGUAUUAAAGGGGAACUACCUCAAAAAUGAAAAUUUAAUAUAGCUGAAAUAAAUACAAUUCAUUCAA